UGGAGAGUUUGAUCCUGGCUCAGGAUGAACGCUGGCGGCGUGCUUAACACAUGCAAGUCGAACGGUGAAGCCAAGCUUGCUUGGUGGAUCAGUGGCGAACGGGUGAGUAACACGUGAGCAACCUGCCCUGGACUCUGGGAUAAGCGCUGGAAACGGCGUCUAAUACUGGAUAUGAGACGUGAUCGCAUGGUCGUGUUUGGAAAGAUUUUUCGGUCUGGGAUGGGCUCGCGGCCUAUCAGCUUGUUGGUGAGGUAAUGGCUCACCAAGGCGUCGACGGGUAGCCGGCCUGAGAGGGUGACCGGCCACACUGGGACUGAGACACGGCCCAGACUCCUACGGGAGGCAGCAGUGGGGAAUAUUGCACAAUGGGCGGAAGCCUGAUGCAGCAACGCCGCGUGAGGGAUGACGGCCUUCGGGUUGUAAACCUCUUUUAGCAGGGAAGAAGCGUGAGUGACGGUACCUGCAGAAAAAGCGCCGGCUAACUACGUGCCAGCAGCCGCGGUAAUACGUAGGGCGCAAGCGUUAUCCGGAAUUAUUGGGCGUAAAGAGCUCGUAGGCGGUUUGUCGCGUCUGCUGUGAAAUCCCGAGGCUCAACCUCGGGCCUGCAGUGGGUACGGGCAGACUAGAGUGCGGUAGGGGAGAUUGGAAUUCCUGGUGUAGCGGUGGAAUGCGCAGAUAUCAGGAGGAACACCGAUGGCGAAGGCAGAUCUCUGGGCCGUAACUGACGCUGAGGAGCGAAAGGGUGGGGAGCAAACAGGCUUAGAUACCCUGGUAGUCCACCCCGUAAACGUUGGGAACUAGUUGUGGGGACCAUUCCACGGUUUCCGUGACGCAGCUAACGCAUUAAGUUCCCCGCCUGGGGAGUACGGCCGCAAGGCUAAAACUCAAAGGAAUUGACGGGGACCCGCACAAGCGGCGGAGCAUGCGGAUUAAUUCGAUGCAACGCGAAGAACCUUACCAAGGCUUGACAUAUACGAGAACGGGCCAGAAAUGGUCAACUCUUUGGACACUCGUAAACAGGUGGUGCAUGGUUGUCGUCAGCUCGUGUCGUGAGAUGUUGGGUUAAGUCCCGCAACGAGCGCAACCCUCGUUCUAUGUUGCCAGCACGUAAUGGUGGGAACUCAUGGGAUACUGCCGGGGUCAACUCGGAGGAAGGUGGGGAUGACGUCAAAUCAUCAUGCCCCUUAUGUCUUGGGCUUCACGCAUGCUACAAUGGCCGGUACAAAGGGCUGCAAUACCGUGAGGUGGAGCGAAUCCCAAAAAGCCGGUCCCAGUUCGGAUUGAGGUCUGCAACUCGACCUCAUGAAGUCGGAGUCGCUAGUAAUCGCAGAUCAGCAACGCUGCGGUGAAUACGUUCC
rnacentral:rRNA from 1 species